GGUCAUGGCUCAGUGGUAGAACAUCUGCUUGGCAUGCAGAAGGCCCCAGGUUCAAUCCCCGGCAUCUCCA
rnacentral:tRNA from 1 species